GGGGGUGUACCGGCUUCGACGGCGCGUCGAACGGGCGGAAAAGCAUGUGGCGGGGUCGGCCGCCUAACAACGCGAACAAAACAAACGCUAACACCCAAAAAAAUGUAAAGGCGGCUCCGGCCUCCUUUGCGUUCGCUGCGUAAGUUAUUCGCAGUCGUCGCCCCCGACUUCCGCCGGCGGGUAAAGCGGCGUCAACAAGGCGGACACCGUUACGGCGCCCUUUGAGUUUGCGCGGCGCCCUAACGAACCUUGCAAGCUCCGACGGAUCGGGCCGCGCGGCCGCCCUCCUCCGUUACGUAAAAAUGCCGCGCUAAACAUGUAGAAACCCGCCCGCAACCCGUGCCGGAAGGGGGUUCGACUCCCCCCACCUCCACCA
rnacentral:tmRNA from 1 species